UAAAGGUGUGAUCAGGCUAGCCCUAGUGCCGUCCGAUAAGGAUAGCUUUUCUCUGCUGUAAGAAGGCGGAGGAAUAAGGAGAGGGCAAGUCUGGUGUCAGCCGCCGCGGUAAUACCAGCUCUCCGAGUGGUAGGGAUGAUUAUUGGGCCUAAAGCGUUCGUAGCCGGCCUUCCAAGUCUUUCGUUAAAUCCAGCGAUUCAAUCGUUGGACUGCGGGAGAUACUGUUAGGCUAGGGGGCGGGAGAAGCCGACGGUAUUUCUGGGGUAGGGGUAAAAUCCUAUAAUCCCAGGAGGACCACCAGUGGCGUAGGCGGUCGGCUAGCACGCGCUCGACGGUGAGGGACGAAAGCUGGGGGAGCAAACCGGAUUAGAUACCCGGGUAGUCCCAGCUGUAAACGAUGCGGGCUAGGUGUUGGAGCGGCUACGAGCCGCUUCAGUGCCGCAGGGAAGCCAUUAAGCCCGCCGCCUGGGGAGUACGGCCGCAAGGCUGAAACUUAAAGGAAUUGGCG
rnacentral:rRNA from 1 species